AGGAGGUCGGACCGGAAACUCUUCCUCUUCUCCCGGAGAUGGCUGCAGAAGGCAGUGCGGCUUUUCAGCUCUUCUCAACAUUUAACUUCUUCGCGAUUCAAAGCGUAGAUGCUAUGCUGCUGCAAAUAACCUGAUGUCUUCACUGUGUCGACCCUUUAAGGUCUCAUGCUGUGGUUGCAGGAGAGGCACGAGAUGCCUAAUCCUUUGUCUCCUUUCCCUGAGGACAGAUAAACAGCAGCAGCAGUAAUGGAGCUACACAGUGACUGGCAGUGAUUUCAUGCCUUUCCUGAUGUACAAGGUUUUGGAAACACUUGAAUGACGUGGGAGUACACAGAGUGGCCACAAUUGAAAGGUGCGUUGGUGUAGAUGAACCGUAAGAUAAGCUGAUGGAGCUCAUCCAGAGCAGCGUCUCGCUUGCACAAACCAUCCACAUCUCCCAGGUCACAAGGAAACACUGGAUCGGGUGGAAUAAUGAGAGCAGAGGCACCUGUAUGAAGAAGAGAAAAUCCUGAAUAUAUUGUAUAUUAUAUUGGUGUUUGAUGCUUUAUUAUCUUGAGUGUUAUAUAUUGAUCAAUAAAAUGAGCCAUGCUUAUGAACAGAG